rfam:Weissella paramesenteroides ATCC 33313 genomic scaffold SCAFFOLD1, whole genome shotgun sequence.
AUGAUUAAUAGAGGUUGCAACCAACAAGAGUCACUUAGUAGAGUCCACACAGACGGUGAGAUUAAGUAAAAGGGGCGGUUGCCGAAAUGAUACAGAUUGUGUAACCCGUAUUGUUGGGCUAAUAGCUAAUAACUAUUAGACUGUCGCUGAAUCAGCGGGGAGCUAUUGUCACA